rnacentral:rRNA from 1 species
AUUGCACGCUGGCGGCAGGCCUAACACAUGCAAGUCGCACGAGUGGAGGACGGGUGGGUAAUGUCUGGGAAACUGCCCGAUGGAGGGGGAUAAAUACUGGAAACGGUCGCUAAUACCGCAUACCAUCAGAUGUGCCCAGAUGGGAUUAGCUAGUCGGUGGGGUAACGGCUCACCUAGGCGACGAUCCCUAGCUGGGUUGAGAGGAUGACCAGCCACACUGGAACUGAGACACGGUCCAGACUCCUACGGGAGGCAGCAGUGGGGAAUAUUGCACAAUGGGCGCAAGCCUGAUGCAGCCAUGCCGCGUGAAUGAAGAAGGCUUUCGGGUUGUAAAGCACUUUCAGCGGGGAGGCGGUACUCGCAGAAGAAGCACCGGCUAACUACGUGCCAGCAGCCGCGGUAAUUC